GGAACAAGUCCAGCACGACACCAGCAACACUCCUGAAGAUCGUAUUGAAUAUGCCUCCGUGAAUUGGCCGGGAAGCUCUGGGCAUCCACCGCGUCAGGGAGAAGAGACGCCAACAUACACAGCGAUCACUCUGCAGCGGGACAGAUGUCAUUAAUGCUCCAUUGCUGAAAUGCAGUGCUCAUCACAGCCCAGCCACAUCAAAGACCCUCCUGAAAUCAGAAGCAACUGUAGCAGCUGUGCAGUAAGAAAGUGAGAGACCUUCUCUGGGGCCACAGCUAGACCAUGCACAGUGACCUGAAGUGCUGUAGGACACUAGAAUAUUCUUAGGGCAAAUGCUACUUGUUUUUCUUUUGGAAAAAAGUUUCUUCUGAAUAAAAUUGGGGGAAAAAACCCAAACUCCAUAUUCCUACCCCCUGACUCUUAAUAUGGACAACUCACUCCGAAGUCCUCUCAGCUCUGUUUAGAGAUUCCAUUGCCAACCCAAAGUGUACAAAAAUCAUGAGGCAGCUCCCCCAAAAU